rnacentral:rRNA from 1 species
GGUUAAGCGAAUAAGCGUACACGGUGGAUGCCUAGGCAAUCAGAGGCGAUGAAGGACGUGCUAAUCUGCGAUAAGCGUCGGUAAGGUGAUAUGAACCGUUAUACCCGACGAUUUCCGAAUGGGGAAACCCAAUAUCCAAUGGAUAUUAUCAUUAACUGAAUACAUAGGUUAAUGAAGCGAACCGGGAGAACUGAAACAUCUCAGUACCCCGAGGAAAAGAAAUCAACCGAGAUUCCCCUAGUAGCGGCGAGCGAACGGGGAACAGCCCAGAGUCUUAAUCAAUAGCAGCAUCAGGAGAACGGUCUGGAAAGUCCGGCAGUAAAGGGUGAUAGCCCCGUAUCCGAAGAUGCUGUUAUUGUGAACUCGACGAGUAGGGCGGGACACGUGUUAUCCUGUCUGAAUAUGGGGGGACCAUCCUCCAAGGCUAAAUACUCCUGAUUGACCGAUAGUGAACCAGUACCGUGAGGGAAAGGCGAAAAGAACCCCGGCGAGGGGAGUGAAAAAGAACCUGAAACCGUGUACGUACAAGCAGUAGGAGCCCCACCACUAAGCUAGUGGUGAACUCACAGCGAUUCUUUUGCAUGAUAAUGUGCGGUAGACGGAGCGAAUGCGACGUCCAACCAACAAAAUCAAGCAGAGGAGGCUUAGUGGUGGGGUGACUGCGUACCUUUUGUAUAAUGGGUCAGCGACUUAUAUUCUGUAGCAAGGUUAACCGUAUAGGGGAGCCGUAGGGAAACCGAGUCUUAACUGGGCGAAUGAGUUGCAGGGUAUAGACCCGAAACCCGGUGAUCUAUCCAUGGGCAGGUUGAAGGUUGGGUAACACUAACUGGAGGACCGAACCGACUAAUGUUGAAAAAUUAGCGGAUGACUUGUGGAUGGGGGUGAAAGGCCAAUCAAACCGGGAGAUAGCUGGUUCUCCCCGAAAGCUAUUUAGGUAGCGCCUCGUGAACUCAUCUUCGGGGGUAGAGCACUGUUUCGACUAGGGGGUCAUCCCGACUUACCAACUCGAUGCAAACUGCGAAUACCGAAGAAUGUUAUCACGGGAGACACACGGCGGGUGCUAACGUCCGUCGUGAAGAGGGAAACAACCCAGACCGCCAGCUAAGGUCCCAAAGUCAUGGUUAAGUGGGAAACGAAGUGGGAAGGCUCAGACAGCCAGGAUGUUGGCUUAGAAGCAGCCAUCAUUUAAAGAAAGCGUAAUAGCUCACUGGUCGAGUCGGCCCGCGCGGAAGAUGUAACGGGGCUAAACCAUGCACCGAAGCUGCGGCAGCAACACUAAGUGUUGUUGGGUAGGGGAGCGUUCUGUAAGCCUGCGAAGGUGUACUGUGAGGUAUGCUGGAGGUAUCAGAAGUGCGAAUGCUGACAUAAGUAACGAUAAUGCGGGUGAAAAACCCGCACGCCGGAAGACCAAGGGUUCCUGUCCAACGUUAAUCGGGGCAGGGUGAGUCGACCCCUAAGGCGAGGCUGAAAAGCGUAGUCGAUGGGAAACGGGUUAAUAUUCCCGUACUGGUGGUAACUGCGAUGGGGGAACGGAGAAGGCUAGGUUGUCCGGGCGACGGUCGUCCCGGUUCAAGCAUGUAGGCAGAGUGAUUAGGCAAAUCCGGUCACUUAAUGCUGAGGUGUGAUGACGAACCACUAAGGUGGUGAAGCAAUUGAUGCCCUGCUUCCAGGAAAAGCCUCUAAGCUUCAGGUUACCAACAAUCGUACCCCAAACCGACACAGGUGGUCAGGUAGAGAAUACUCAGGCGCUUGAGAGAACUCGGGUGAAGGAACUAGGCAAAAUGGUGCCGUAACUUCGGGAGAAGGCACGCUGGCGGUAAGUGAAGUCCCUUGCGGACGGAGCCGAAGCCAGUCGAAGAUACCAGCUGGCUGCAACUGUUUAUUAAAAACACAGCACUGUGCAAACACGAAAGUGGACGUAUACGGUGUGACGCCUGCCCGGUGCUGGAAGGUUAAUUGAUGGGGUUAUCCUUAGGGAGAAGCUCUUGAUCGAAGCCCCAGUAAACGGCGGCCGUAACUAUAACGGUCCUAAGGUAGCGAAAUUCCUUGUCGGGUAAGUUCCGACCUGCACGAAUGGCGUAAUGAUGGCCAGGCUGUCUCCACCCGAGACUCAGUGAAAUUGAACUCGCUGUGAAGAUGCAGUGUACCCGCGGCAAGACGGAAAGACCCCGUGAACCUUUACUAUAGCUUGACACUGAACAUUGAGCCUUGAUGUGUAGGAUAGGUGGGAGACUAUGAAGUGUGGACGCCAGUCUGCAUGGAGUCAACCUUGAAAUACCACCCUUUAACGUUUGAUGUUCUAACCUAGGCCCAUAAUCUGGGUCGGGGACCGUGUCUGGUGGGUAGUUUGACUGGGGCGGUCUCCUCCUAAAGAGUAACGGAGGAGCACGAAGGUUGGCUAAGCAUGGUCGGACAUCAUGCGGUUAGUGCAAAGGCAUAAGCCAGCUUGACUGUGAGAGUGACGGCUCGAGCAGGUACGAAAGUAGGUCUUAGUGAUCCGGUGGUUCUGAAUGGAAGGGCCAUCGCUCAACGGAUAAAAGGUACUCCGGGGAUAACAGGCUGAUACCGCCCAAGAGUUCAUAUCGACGGCGGUGUUUGGCACCUCGAUGUCGGCUCAUCACAUCCUGGGGCUGAAGUAGGUCCCAAGGGUAUGGCUGUUCGCCAUUUAAAGUGGUACGCGAGCUGGGUUUAGAACGUCGUGAGACAGUUCGGUCCCUAUCUGCCGUGGGCGUUGGAAGAUUGAGAGGGGUUGCUCCUAGUACGAGAGGACCGGAGUGAACGCACCACUGGUGUUCGGGUUGUCAUGCCAAUGGCAUUGCCCGGUAGCUAAGUGCGGAAGAGAUAACCGCUGAAAGCAUCUAAGCGGGAAACUUGCCUCGAGAUGAGUCUUCCCUGUCACCUAGAGUGACCUAAAGGAACGUUUAAGACUAAGACGUUGAUAGGCUGGGUGUGUAAGCGUAGCGAUACGUUGAGCUAACCAGUACUAAUGAACCGUGAGGCUUAACCUG